AUUGAACGCUGGCGGCAUGCCUUACACGUGCAAGUCGAACGGCAGCACGGGAGCAAUCCUGGUGGCGAGUGGCGAACGGGUGAGUAAAGUAUCGGAACGUGCCCAGUCGUGGGGGAUAACGUAGCGAAAGUUACGCUAAUACCGCAUACGAUCUAUGGAUGAAAGCGGGGGAUCGCAAGACCUCGCGCGAUUGGAGCGGCCGAUAUCAGAUUAGGUAGUUGGUGGGGUAAAGGCUCACCAAGCCGACGAUCUGUAGCUGGUCUGAGAGGACGACCAGCCACACUGGGACUUAGACACGGCCCAGACUCCUACGGGAGGCAGCAGUGGGGAAUUUUUGACAAUGGGCGCAAGCCUGAUCCAGCCAUGCCGCGUGCAGGAUGAAGGCCUUCGGGUUGUAAACUGCUUUUGUACGGAACGAAAAGGUUUGGCUUAAUACGUUGAACUCAUGACGGUACCGUAAGAAUAAGCACCGGCUAACUACGUGCCAGCAGCCGCCGUAA
rnacentral:rRNA from 1 species